rnacentral:rRNA from 1 species
AGUUUGAUCCUGGCUCAGGAUGAACGCUGGCGGCGUGCCUUAGGUAUGCAAGUCGAACGAGUUCCAGCUUGCUGGAACUAGUGGCGGACGGGUGAGUGACGCGUAUGGAUCUACCCAAGAGUUCUGAAUAACUUACCGAAAGGUGGGCUAAUACGGAAUAGUCUUUCCGAAGUAAAGGGCUUUACUGCCCGCUUUUGGAGGAACAUGCGUCCUAUCAGCUAGUUGGUGAGGUAAUGGCUCACCAAGGCUAUGACGGGUAUCUGGACUGAGAGGUCGAACAGACACAGGGGCACUGAGACACGGGCUCCACAUCUACGGAUGGCAGCAACCAGGAAUAUUGGGCAAUGGGGGAAACCCUGACCCAGCGACGCCGCGUGGAGGAUGAAGGCUUUAGGGUCGUAAACUCCUUUUAAUAGUUCCUUCACGAACUAUAGAAUAAGCACCUACUAACUACGUGCCAGAAGUCUCGGUAAUACGUAGGGUGCAAGCGUUAUCCGGAUUUACUGGGCGUAAAGAGUGUGUAGGCGGUCCACCAAGUCGUAGCUUAAAUCCCGGGGCUCAACCCCGGUCUUGGUUACGAUACUGGAGGACUAGAAGAUUAUUCGGGGUACUGGAACAGUUGGUGUAGUGGUGAA